rnacentral:lncRNA from 10 species
CCCUGGUCACUUUUUACAGUUAGGUAUCACUAGAGAGACUAAAUACCCAACAGGAAACAUUUUUCUCAUUUCUAUUUUCCCAUGAUAGAUACCGAUCCUGGGGGAGUGGGCUGGGGAGGGUGAUGGGAUUAUCCAGUGAAAAGCCGCAGGCAACAGUUCAAGUCCCUCUGAAUCCACAGCUACAUGCACAGCUUCAGAGCAAUACAAAACAGGUAAUUUAAUUCCAUAAAAUUAUCUUUCUACAGUUCGUUUUUUCCUCCUAGCCUACUGAAAUGUACACACCAUGAGUACAAAGUACAAGGUGCUGUUCAGCUGUAAUUUUACUUCUGCACAUAUUUAAUGUGCUAAUGGGAUGAAGCAUUUCAUGGUUCCUGUGCUUAGCAAAUGAAAUAAAUCAAUGUGUUAAGAGAAAGCGAUUUUGUUCUUGCUGUUUGGGGAAAGUGCUCUUUACUUUCCUAUUAACAAAAACUUAAUGAACCAUUUCACAUUCAAAACCCCUUAGGUCAUAAUGUCUAUU